ACUCAAAGAGAACUUCACAAACCUGAGUUUGAUCGUUCUUGCAUACAUUUGGAGUUUGACAUAUCCGGGACUGGCAUAAUGAUUGUGGGAUCUGAGUUUGUGCAAAAGUAUGUUGGUGAGGGUCCACGAAUGAAACAACUCUUUGUUGAGAUCUAAUGCUACCCUUUUCUCUGAUGGCCAUCAUCACCAAUCACAAAUGUUGAACUUCUCUUCUCCAAAGUCAGAGUCUUUGUUGGUAGAUAAGGCUUCCUCAAAUGCCACAUUGCCU